rnacentral:rRNA from 1 species
CCUACGGGGGGCAGCAGUGGGGAAUAUUGCACAAUGAGGGAAACCCUGAUGCAGCGACGCCGCGUGAGUGAAGAAGUAUUUCGGUAUGUAAAGCUCUAUCAGCAGGGAAGAAAAUGACGGUACCUGAUUAAGAAGCCCCUGCUAACUACGUGCCAGCAGCCGCGGUAAUACGUAGGGGCAAAGCGUUAUCCGGAUUUACUGGGUGGAAAGGGAGCGUAGACGGCAGCACAAGUCUGGAGUGAAAUGCCGGGGCUUAACCCCGGAACCGCUUUGGAAACUGUGCAGCUAGAGUACAGGAGAGGUAAGUGGAAUUCCUAGUGUAGCGGUGAAAUGCGUAGAUAUUAGGAGGAACACCAGUGGCGAAGGCGGCUUACUGGACUGUAACUGACGUUGAGGCUCGAAAGCGUGGGGAGCAAACAGGAUUAGAUACCCGGGUAGUC